GAUGUCGACGAGGGUGACAAGAGUUGCUCAUCCAAUUUCAAGAGCUCGCUGAAAAAACUUUUUGAGGACCUAUUGAUGGAGUUCACUGUCAAAGGAGCCGACUGCGAUCAGUUCCUUGCUCAGAAAGUUAAAGAUGGAGCCUCAAAAGCAGUAGAUACUCGAUUGAAGCUAUGAGAUCAGGUUCCAGUACUGGUGCGGCUGGCUUUGCCUCCAAUUGGUAUUUCGCAUUUAUUUAUAUAGAUUAGUCCAGAAUGAACUGGUUGG
rnacentral:misc_RNA from 1 species